UACGGAGGGUGCAAGCGUUAAUCGGAAUUACUGGGCGUAAAGCGCACGCAGGCGGUGAAUUAAGUCUGAUGUUAAAGCGCCGAGCUUAACUUGGGAAUUGCAUCUGAAACUGGUUGGCUAGAGUAUUGUAGGGGGGGAGGGAAUUCCAUGUGUAGCGGUGAAAUGCGUAGAGAUGUGGAAGAAUACCAGUGGCGAAGGCGCCCCCCUGGACAAAAACUGACGCUCAGGUGCGAAAGCGAGGGGAGCGAACAGG
rnacentral:rRNA from 1 species